rnacentral:rRNA from 1 species
GACGAACGCUGGCGGCGUGCUUAACACAUGCAAGUCGAGCGGAAAGGCCCUUUCGGGGGUACUCGAGCGGCGAACGGGUGAGUAACACGUGAGUAAUCUGCCCUGGACUCUGGGAUAGCCACCGGAAACGGUGAUUAAUACCGGAUAUGACACCUUGCUGCAUGGUGGGGUGUGGAAAGCUUUUUCGGUCCAGGAUGUGCUCGCGGCCUAUCAGCUUGUUGGUGAGGUAAUGACUCACCAAGGCUUUGACGGGUAGCCGGCCUGAGAGGGUGACCGGUCACACUGGGACUGAGACACGGCCCAGACUCCUACGGGAGGCAGCAGUGGGGAAUAUUGGACAAUGGGCGGAAGCCUGAUCCAGCAACGCCGCGUGAGGGAUGACGGCCUUCGGGUUGUAAACCUCUUUCAGUACCGACGAAGCGAAAGUGACGGUAGGUACAGAAGAAGGACCGGCCAACUACGUGCCAGCCGCCGCGGUAAGAC